GACGAACGCUGGCGGCGUGCUUAACACAUGCAAGUCGAACGGAAAGGCCCUGCUUUUGUGGGGUGCUCGAGUGGCGAACGGGUGAGUAACACGUGAGUAACCUGCCCUUGACUUUGGGAUAACUUCAGGAAACUGGGGCUAAUACCGGAUAGGAGCUCCUGCUGCAUGGUGGGGGUUGGAAAGUUUCGGCGGUUGGGGAUGGACUCGCGGCUUAUCAGCUUGUUGGUGGGGUAGUGGCUUACCAAGGCUUUGACGGGUAGCCGGCCUGAGAGGGUGACCGGCCACAUUGGGACUGCGAUACGGCCCAGACUCCUACGGGAGGCAGCAGUGGGGAAUAUUGCACAAUGGGCGGAAGCCUGAUGCAGCAACGCCGCGUGCGGGAUGACGGCCUUCGGGUUGUAAACCGCUUUCGCCUGUGACGAAGCGUGAGUGACGGUAAUGGGUGAAGAAGCACCGGCUAACUACGUG
rnacentral:rRNA from 1 species